UACGAAGGGGGCUAGCGUUGCUCGGAAUACUGGGCGUAAAGCGUGCGCAGGCGGUGAUGUAAGACAGAUGUGAAAUCCCCGGGCUCAACCUGGGAACUGCAUUUGUGACUGCAUCGCUGGAGUGCGGCAGAGGGGGAUGGAAUUCCGCGUGUAGCAGUGAAAUGCGUAGAUAUGCGGAGGAACACCGAUGGCGAAGGCAAUCCCCUGGGCCUGCACUGACGCUCAUGCACGAAAGCGUGGGGAGCAAACAGG
rnacentral:rRNA from 1 species